ACCUCAUAAUGCAGCGGAUCGCAUGGAUAUGUUGUUAAAGGUUUACCGCCUUGGGAUAGGCUUGCGUCUGAUUAGCUAGUUGGUGUGGUAACGGCACACCAAGGCUACGAUCAGUAACUGGUCUGAGAGGAUGAUCAGUCACACUGGAACUGAGACACGGUCCAGACUCCUACGGAGGCAGCAGUGAGGAAUAUUGGGCAAUGCUCGAAAGAGUGACCCAGCAACGCCGCGUGGAGGAUGAAGGUAUUCUAUAUCGUAAACUCCUGUGAGAGCAGACGAAAGACAGAUUAUUAAUCUGGAUGACCGUAUGCUCAGAGGAAGCCCCGGCUAACUACGUG
rnacentral:rRNA from 1 species